UACCAGCACCCCGAGUGGUCGGGACGUUUAUUGGGCCUAAAGCAUCCGUAGCCGGUUCUACAAGUCUUCCGUUAAAAUCCACCUGCUCAACAGAUGGGCUGCGGAAGAUACUAUGGAGCUAGGAGGCGGGAGAGGCAAGCGGUACUCGAUGGGUAGGGGUAAAAUCCGUUGAUCCAUUGAAGACCACCAGUGGCGAAGGCGGCUUGCCAGAACGCGCUCGACGGUGAGGGAUGAAAGCUGGGGGAGCAAACCGG
rnacentral:rRNA from 1 species